GAUGAACGCUGGCGGCGUGCCUAAUACAUGCAAGUCGAGCGAACAGACGAGGAGCUUGCUCCUCUGACGUUAGCGGCGGACGGGUGAGUAACACGUGGAUAACCUACCUAUAAGACUGGGAUAACUUCGGGAAACCGGAGCUAAUACCGGAUAACAUGUUGAACCGCAUGGUUCAACAGUGAAAGACGGUGUUGCUGUCACUUAUAGAUGGAUCCGCGCCGCAUUAGCUAGUUGGUAAGGUAACGGCUUACCAAGGCAACGAUGCGUAGCCGACCUGAGAGGGUGAUCGGCCACACUGGAACGGAGACACGGUCCAGACUACUACGGGAGGCAGCAGUAGGGAAUCUGCCGCAAUGGGCGAAAGCCUGACGGAGCAACGCCGAGUGAGUGAAGAAGGUCUUCGGAUCGUAAAACUCUGUUAUUAGGGAAGAACAAAUGUGUAAGUAACUAUGCACGUCUUGACGGUAACUAAUCAGAAAGCCACGGCUAACUACGUG
rnacentral:rRNA from 1 species